ACUCCCUUAGUAUAAUUAAUAUAACUGACUUCCAAUCAGUAGAUUCCGAAAUUCACGGAAGAGAGUA
rnacentral:tRNA from 1 species